UGACCCAGUGUGUGCUCUGCCCUUGUGAUUGACCCAGUGUGUGCUUUACCCUUGUGAUUGACCCAGUGUGUGCUUUACCCUUGUGAUUGACCCGUUGUGUGCUCUGCCCUUGUGAGUGACCCAGUGUGUGCUUUACCCUUGUGAUUGACCCAGUGUGUGCUCUGCCCUUGUGAGUGACCCAGUGUGUGCUCUGCCCUUGUGAUUGACCCAGUGUGUGCUUUACCCUUGUGAUUGACCCAGUGUGUGCUUUACCCUUGUGAGUGACCCAGUGUGUGCUCUGCCCUUGUGAGUGACCCAGUGUGUGCUUUACCCUUGUGAUUGACCCAGUGUGUGCUCUGCCCUUGUGAGUGACCCAGUGUGUGCUUUACCCUUGUGAUUGACCCAGUGUGUGCUUUACCCUUGUGAUUGACCCAGUGUGUGCUCUGCCCUUGUGAUUAACCCAGUGCUAAUGUUCACCGCGGCAUCUUCUUAUAUAGCUGCUCUUCUGCUGGUGAUUUUACAGUGACCAGUGAGUCUGAUUCCUGUGCUCAGUUCUAUUUGACCCAAAGACUUUUUACAGAUUAAGUUAUGCUCAGUUCUUUCUGUAUAUGAAGAUUGCUUCCUGAACUUUUAAUUGGUCUGUGUACAGACAUUUUUUCUUUUGGUUGGUUGUUUUAUAUUGUAUCUCAUCCUGUUACUCCAGACAGAGGCAUUCUGAAAAGCUGUUACUCCUGGUGGAAAUUAAAUUGAUUUCAACACAAUGGUGAA